rnacentral:sRNA from 1 species
UCGAGAAAGGGAAAUCAAGAAAUUGAGAAAUCGGGAAAUCGAGAAAUAGAGAAAGCAUAAACGCAAAAUCGAGAAUUCAUUUCGCGUUUUAGCCUUUUCGUGUUUCCUCUUUCGUGUUUUGGCGUUUUUGCUUUCUUGAUUUCUCGAUUUCCCGAUUUCCCGAUUUUCUCAAUUUCUCGAUUUCUC